AGGGUUACUUUAUUAAAAGUCAUGUUAGAGUGAAGAGGCAGUGGAGCCAUUUCAGCCCAUCUUCAAAAGAAACACCAUGAAAAUCUUCAGUCAAAAUCGCAAGGUUGUCAGGAAAAGGCUUUGGAUUCAGAUGUCUCUGUUAAAUCUUUUGGGUAUAGCCUCAGCCUCUGAGAUGAAGUACUCUGGCAAGAUGUUGGCCAUGAGAGAAGAAAAAUUAACAAAGACUCUGAAGAAUGGCAAACAGGUACUCUGGAUUGCAGAAUUCUGUAGUUGGGCUCUUAAGCU